CACAGGGCAGGGUGCUGGCUAACGGCCAGUCGAGGCGACUCGCAGGAAAGUGCCACAGAAAACAAACCGCCCGUUCCGAAAGGGGCGGGUAAGGGUGAAACGGUGCGGUAAGAGCGCACCGCGUCCGGGGUGACCCGGACGGCACGGUAAACCCCACCUGGAGCAAGAGCCAAUAGGAGCGCGUCCCCGAAAGGGGACAAGGAUGGCCCGUCCCAAGCGCUCGGGUUGCUCGCUGAUGAGGCCCCUGGGCAACCAGGGCCCUAGAUGAAUGUUCACCGCCCAUCCCGAAAGGGGUGGGG
rnacentral:misc_RNA from 1 species